CCCUACGGGGCGCAGCAGUGGGGAAUAUUGGGCAAUGGGCGCAAGCCUGACCCAGCAACGCCGCGUGAAGGAAGAAGGCCCUCGGGUUGUAAACUUCUUUUAUCAAGGACGAAACAAAUGACGGUACUUGAUGAAUAAGCCACGGCUAACUACGUGCCAGCAGCCGCGGUAAUACGUAGGUGGCAAGCGUUAUCCGGAUUUAUUGGGUGUAAAGGGCGUGUAGGCGGGAGCGCAAGUCAGAUGUGAAAACUCAGGGCUCAACCCUGAGCCUGCAUUUGAAACUGUGUUUCUUGAGUGCUGGAGAG
rnacentral:rRNA from 1 species